AACGAACGCUGGCGGCAUGCCUAACACAUGCAAGUCGAACGAUGUCUUUCGGGGCAUAGUGGCGCACGGGUGCGUAACGCGUGGGAAUCUGCCCUUGGGUUCGGAAUAACCGUUGGAAACGACGGCUAAUACCGGAUGAUGUCGAUAAGACCAAAGACUUAUCGCCUGAGGAUGAGCCCGCGUAGGAUUAGCUAGUUGGUGUGGUAAGAGCGCACCAAGGCGACGAUCCUUAGCUGGUCUGAGAGGAUGAUCAGCCACACUGGGACUGAGACACGGCCCAGACUCCGACGGGAGGCAGCAGUGGGGAAUAUUGGACAAUGGGCGCAAGCCUGAUCCAGCAAUGCCGCGUGAGUGAUGAAGGCCUUAGGGUUGUAAAGCUCUUUUACCCGGGAUGAUAAUGACAGUACCGGGAGAAUAAGCUCCGGCUAACUCCGUGCCAGCCGCCGCCGUAA
rnacentral:rRNA from 1 species